UUCGGUUUCAUCUCCAGGUUGGAGCCAAGGCAGGGCUUUACAGCUGCCUCAGAUGUGUCUCCGGGCAAACGGAGGGGAACCGUGGGAGCAGUCCUGGGGCUGUCCCUAACAAGCUGCUCGCUAGUAAUAAAGAAGUAAAUAGGAUUGUGUCACCAUCAGUGAGCGUAAGUUCCUUCCCUAAAUGUGCUGUAGCAAGUCCAGCCAGAGGCCAGAUGCAGAGAACGUCUCCAGCAGCAGGAUCAUCCACAGGGACUCACAGCUGGACAGCAAGGUUGAUGGCUUUCCC